rnacentral:tRNA from 1 species
UGGGGAGUCGUCUAGUGGUAGGACGCCAGAUUCUGGCUCUGGUAGCGAGGGUUCGAGUCCUUCCUCCCCAGCCA